rnacentral:rRNA from 1 species
UACAGAGGGUGCGAGCGUUGUUCGGAAUUAUUGGGCGUAAAGGGCGCGUAGGCGGCUUCGUAAGUCAAAGGUGAAAUCCCUCGGCUCAACUGAGGAACUGCCUUUGAAACUGUGAGGCUUGAGGCCGGGAGGGGGUAGCGGAAUUCCCAGUGUAGCGGUGAAAUGCGUAGAUAUUGGGAGGAACACCAGUGGCGAAGGCGGCUACCUGGACCGGUUCUGACGCUGAGGCGCGAAAGCGUGGGUAGCAAACAGG